rnacentral:rRNA from 1 species
UAAUACGGAGGGGGCUAGCGUUGUUCGGAAUUACUGGGCGUAAAGCGUACGUAGGCGGUGAUUCAAGUCAGAGGUGAAAGCCCGGAGCUCAACUUCGGAAUAGCCUUUGAAACUAGAUCGCUUGAACGUCGGAGAGGUGAGUGGAAUUCCGAGUGUAGAGGUGAAAUUCGUAGAUAUUCGGAAGAACACCAGUGGCGAAGGCGGCUCACUGGACGACUGUUGACGCUGAGGUACGAAAGCGUGGGGAGCAAACAGGAUUAGAUACCCUGGUAGUCCACGCCGUAAACGAUGAUAACUAGCUGUCUGGGUGCUUGGCACUUAGGUGGCGCAGCUAACGCAUUAAGUUAUCCGCCUGGGGAGUACGGUCGCAAGAUUA